AGCCCAGCGUUCGCGACGUAUGUCGAUACGUCGAUCGCCGAGUACAAAUCGAGUUGACGUGAAAGUUUGGCCAGCCACGGCCGUUCGGGUGCAGUAGUGAUGGGCUAAACUGUCAUUUUCCGAUAUCAGUGAUUUCUGUGAAUGCUACUUUUCAGUAUCUGCUAUUCUUAACUGUGAUUUGUCGCAGUUCAGAGUCGCAGUCGCAGUAUCCCUCCGCCACUGCUAUUUCUGCGAUUUCUGCUACUUCCGCGAUUUCUGGUACUUGUUCUACUUCUGCGAUUUCUGCUACUUCUGCGAUUUCUGUGACUUCUGCGAUUUCUGCGACUUACGACCGUAUGAAAAAGUUACAUCUGCCUACACAGAAAAUUGCAUCUCAACAAAUGUGUCAUUGUUACCCGAACUACAUUUCAGUCACUCAGUAAAUUGAUAACUCAAAAUAUCAUUGUCAACAGAUCUGGAGAAAUUGCCACUGCGUCUUUAGACCGUUUUCGUCAGACGAGAGACACAGUUCUGACUCUUGGUUACUGGUUGCUGUACGUAUCUAUCCACAUCAAGGCUACUGAGAGAGACUCGUGAAGAUUGAAGACAGCUCUUAGAGGAUUUGCAGUUUAAAAGUGUCAUAAUUGUGAAAUAAGUGUGCAGAUGAGUGAUUAAACUGUGUUUUAUUGAAGUUGUUAUGCGAUUUUAAAGGAAUAAUAAAUGUUAAAU